AGGGAGGGGGAGAAAGAGCAAAGCGGAGAAGGAAGAAGAGGAGGAGGGAAAGGAUGAGAGGAGGGAGGGGCCGGGCGGGGCCAUCUGUGCUGCAACUCCCUGGGCUGGAUUUGCUUACAGGUAGACUCCUGGUCUGGAGCUGCCGAGCAAAUAGGGGGUGGGGGAGCUGUCCCGCCCCGCCCUUGGGGACACACCCCCCACAUACAGACUGGCACACAUUGGCCCCCUGCCAGGUGGAGCCCGCCCUGGCUCUGCUCUGCGCCCCUCCUCCCCUCCCGUCAGCCUACAGUCCAUAGAUCCAUGCACCCCUCCCCGUCCACCUAGCCUCCGGGUCUUUACGGUCCUCUCCGCCCCCUUCAAUCCGGGCCUGGAAACCCCGCCUGCCCUCCUUUUCCUUGGGUUCGGCUCCUUGGAAUCGCUGCAGGACCCGCCCAGCCCUUGGUCACGGUUCCGGCCACGGUCACGGUCACGCAUGGAGGGAGCCCGGUGGCAGUAGCCAGCUCGGGAGGCUCCCAGAGCAAGGGUGCUGUGAAGGCCUCGAGCUUCUGACGCCGGCCUACCCGGCUUCUUUGGCGUAGUGCAGAGCGGUUCUGGGGACCUUGCUGCUAACUGUACUCUCGCCACCUGCCUGAAGGGACCCAGCGCUCACUCUACAAAUCAGACCUUUCUGAAGCACCCUGGAGGGUGCCCUGCAGGCACCGGAAUAUCUGAAGCGCCCAGCGACAUUUCAGAAUUUCCGUGGAGCUGGGAAGGAGCUGAUGAAACCUGGUGCAACCGUGUGGUCUCCGUGUUUGCUGGGGUCCCUCUGAAGCCGCAUUCCUCAAAUAACUUCACUUUGGGAAGGAAGAAGAGGUCUGUGGUGACCGGGAGCCCUUCUGAGGUGAGGGAGGGACGUCCGAGGGAAGAUUCUCUCCUUUAUUCGCUCUCCCCCGGAGCCACCGGGCUAGAGCGUGGGCACAAUCUGGGGCUACUUCUCCAAGAGCGGAGGAAGGGAGCCAGUGAGUACGGAUCCCCGUGACUUGGAGGAAAAGCCACGACCCCUGGCAGUGGGCGAGAGGCGGAGCAUGCCAGGCGGGCCACCUCUGAGCUCUAGGCUCCUUCUUCGACGGGGCGAUCACGUCUGAAUUGGAGGCUGGAGAUGGCCUCCAGGGAGCUCACACGAAAGGAAUGGUUUGGGGGCUGAGAUUCCCUCCCAUUCUCUAGCCAGUACGGCUUGACAACUCGUGUUCCAUGGGUCAAUCCUCCUGGUCUUCCUUUGUAUCCCCAGCCAUCGCCCAGUGCCCGGCACAUGGUAGGCACUUAGUACAAGUUUGCUGAUUAGGAGUCCUUGUAGCCCCCGAUGGACAUGCCCAAGGCUCCCCCGAGUCCCAGAGAGAAAACUCUCCCACUCGGUUACAUUGGACUUCUUGGCUGUGUGGGCAGCUGAAGCCGGACAUAUGUCUGUGUGGUGACUGGUUGGGGUGAGAUGCAAGCUGUUGGGAUGUGGGCGAGAGUUUUGUCAUAGCUCGUCUAUUAAGCAGAAUUAGCUCCUGGCAUUAGCUGGCUCUGAAAUCUGCCUGGGCACCCGUGGGGCUCAGGGACCAGCAAGUGUUAGAUUAUGUGUGUACAUAGAUAGAUAGAUAGAUGGAUAGAUAGAUAGAUAGAUAGAUAUAGAUAUAGAUAUGGGGUGGGGGUAGAAAAGAGAGAGAGGGAGGGAGAGAGAGGGAAGAGGUAGGGGAGGGAGAGAGGGAGAGAGGGGGGAAAGAGAGAAGGGAGAGAGAAGGAAAACCAGAGACAGAGAGAG
rnacentral:lncRNA from 1 species